rnacentral:rRNA from 1 species
AUUGAACGCUGGCGGCAUGCUUUACACAUGCAAGUCGAACGGUAACAGGCCGCAAGGUGCUGACGAGUGGCGAACGGGUGAGUAAUGCAUCGGAACGUGCCCAGUCGUGGGGGAUAACUACUCGAAAGAGUAGCUAAUACCGCAUACGAUCUAUGGAUGAAAGCGGGGGACCGUAAGGCCUCGCGCGCUUGGAGCGGCCGAUGUCAGAUUAGGUAGUUGGUGGGGUAAAGGCUCACCAAGCCAACGAUCCGAAGCUGGUCUGAGAGGAUAACCAGCCAAACUGGGACUGAGACACGGCCCAGACUCCUACGGGAGGCAGCAGUGGGGAAUUUUGGACAAUGGGCGCAAGCCUGAUCCAGCAAUGCCGCGUGCAGGAAGAAGGCCUUCGGGUUGUAAACUGCUUUUGUACGGAACGAAACGGCUCUGGUUAAUACCCGGGGCUAAUGACGGUACCGUAAGAAUAAGCACCGGCUAACUACGUG